rnacentral:rRNA from 1 species
CUCCCCCAAGAGUUCACAUCGACGGGGAGGUUUGGCACCUCGAUGUCGGCUCGUCGCAUCCUGGGGCUGGAGAAGGUCCCAAGGGUUGGGCUGUUCGCCCAUUAAAGCGGCACGUGAGCUGGGUUCAGAACGUCGCAAGACAGUUCGGUCCUUAUCCGCUGUGGGCGCAGGAGAUUUGAGGGGGGCUGCUCUUAGUACGAGAGGACCAGAGCGGACGAACCUCUGGUGUACCAGUUGUGCCGUCAGGCGCACCGCUGGGUAGCCAUGUUCGGAAGGGAUAAGCGCUGAAAGCAUAUAAGCGCGAAGCCCACCCCAAGAUUAGAUCUCCCUUCCCGAUUAACGUCGGGACUGAAGGACCCUCGUAGACUACGAGGUUGAUAGGCCACAGGUGUAAGCCCUGUGAGGGGUUCAGCCGAGUGGUACUAAUAGUCCGUGAGUCUUGAUCAAAU